ensembl:antisense Gm42604 predicted gene 42604
AGUGUCAUUGAUAAUGACCUUCGCCUGGGUGAACUCUCCCAGCAGGGCAUAGGCUGGCAUGCUGAGCCCCACGGUGAAACUUUCGAUAUUCUCAAAUACGUCGUCAUCGUUGAUGAUGACAGUGCAGGACUUUGUGCUUUCUCCUUCAUCAAACUGAACCUGUCACAAAAGAAGCAAAAGGACUUAAACUGGGCAUCACCUUAGCAUCCCUUGGUCAGUCCGGAGAUUAUGAGUACCCAACUUGAGCUAGCAAAGGACUUCAAGGUAUCUUCGAGUUCCUCCAUCCCCCAACUCCUGUUGUCCUGCCUGCAAUGCUCAGACAUCUCUCCCUGUCCUUCAUGUGCCAUGGAGGCUGAUUUAUUGUAUAAGAACACGAAGGGCAAAGAGCUAUCCUAUAUCUGGUGACUAGUAAGAGAAACCAGGACCAUGCCUGUCCAUCACCUUUACCAAAUGACAACUCCUGGUUCUCUGGAACUCUCCAAUAGAUGAGGAAAAUAUCUUCAAGAGCCCACAUGCAUGAUGCGGAGUUUGACACAAAUCAAAGCCGCCUCAGGAAAACACAACCUGAAGGUCUAUUUUCUACUUUCCCUAUAAAUUCUCCUGGAUUCUCUUCUGCAACUUGGAGAUGGAAGCAAAAGUGCUCGACAGAAGCAUUGAAGGAGAAUGCUUGAGAUUACUGGUCUCAAGAUCUCAUCUUAUGGCUUGCUAGCUACAUGACUAAGGGCAAGGAACUCUGCCUCCAUCUGUCACUACUGCUCUGCUACUGUAGGGACAAGAAGAGAAUCUUAAAAUUGCACAGUU